UGGAGCCUCAUUUCCAUCAUGUGGUACGGUUCACUUGGGUACCCAUUUGGAGUUAUCCGUGUGCCUUUGUCGCAGUAAGGUCUCUAAGGUAGAGACAGACACUACUACUUCCCUCUCCCGAGCCACCUCAUACAGCCCAGAAUCCCGAGGCGUUCCCAAGACAACCAUAAGAAAGUCUCUCCACCGAGUCCUGGGUCGCCCCUGGGGACACCUCUCUGUGGGAUGUGCCUGGAACAUCUCACCAGUGAGGCAUCCAAACAUGAUGCCCAAGCCACCUCAUCUGGCUACUCUCAACGUAGAGGAUCAGCGGUUCGAUUCUGAGCUCCUCUUGAAUGACCGAGUUGUCUCACCCCAUCUCUCAAGGAGUGGCCGGACACCUGGCGGAGGAAACUCAUUUCGACCGCUUGUAUGCCAGAUCUCGUUCUUUGGAUCAGGACUCACAGCUCGAGAUCGUAGCGAAGGGUAAGAAUGUAGACUGACUGGUAAAUUGAGAGCAGCUCCUUCAUCACCACGACAGACCGAUAUAUAAUCAAGGAUUUCAUUCCAGAACUGGUGCGAGCACUUUGACAACUCGAGG